rnacentral:tRNA from 1 species
GGUCUCGUAGCUCAGUUGGAUAGAGCAACAGCCUUCUAAGCUGUGGGUCGUGGGUUCGAACCCCGCCGAGAUCA